CUUGGUCAUUUAGAGGAAGUAAAAGUCGUAACAAGGUCUCCGUAGGAGAACCUGCGGAGGGAUCAUUACAAGUGACCCCGGUCUAACCACCGGGAUGUUCAUAACCCUUUGUUGUCCGACUCUGUUGCCUCCGGGGCGACCCUGCCUUCGGGCGGGGGCUCCGGGUGGACACUUCAAACGCUUGCGUAACUUUGCAGUCUGAGUAAACUUAAUUAAUAAAUUAAAACUUUUAACAACGGAUCUCUUGGUUCUGGCAUCGAUGAAGAACGCAGCGAAAUGCGAUAAGUAAUGUGAAUUGCAGAAUUCAGUGAAUCAUCGAAUCUUUGAACGCACAUUGCGCCCCCUGGUAUUCCGGGGGGCAUGCCUGUUCGAGCGUCAUUUCACCACUCAAGCCUCGCUUGGUAUUGGGCAACGCGGUCCGCCGCGUGCCUCAAAUCGACCGGCUGGGUCUUCUGUCCCCUAAGCGUUGUGGAAACUAUUCGCUAAAGGGUGCUCGGGAGGCUACGCCGUAAAACAAACCCAUUUCUAAGGUUGACCUCGGAUCAGGUAGGGAUACCCGCUGAACUUAAGCAUAUCAAUAAGCGGAGG
rnacentral:rRNA from 1 species